CUAAUCAAAUUGUAUAUUUUUUGUAUAUCUUUGUAGCAUGAUUUACAAUAUUGGCAAGUAUAUUUACAUCACAUGUACACCUUUGUUUCCACUUUUUCCUAAAUAUAAGUAAAAUAGGAGCUAGCUUUUCUAAAUAAUCUAGAUUUAAGACAACACAAGAGGACUAAGGUUCAACCUGAAGUUUGGGGGUUGGACUUUCAGACUCCAAUACCAAUAGAACAGCUUUUUGAUCAGCUGUAACCAAUCCCAGACAGCUUAUCAUUAAUACAACAUCAAAUUAAUCUGCUUUGUAUCUUUUAACAGUCAAAUUAAGUAUACAUACUGACAUCUCAUCAUGCAUAUUUUGUGGAAGUUUAUUAUAGAAGAAACAAAACUAUGUAAGACUCUACCCUCUUAACUCCAUGUAGCCAUUCGCUCAUUUUUUCCAAUUAAAAAAAAAUACCAUUUUGAUAAGUCAUAAUGUUGAAAUAUGUGCAGCUAUAUAAAAUGAGAGGCUGAAAAAAACACAACAAAUGAGAACACCACGUAGAACAUCCCAAAAAUCAAACACAUAAAUCUGACUAAAAGCUUUUCCUUCAAGAUCUGCUUCUCAUGUCAGCCAGAAAAUUUGACCUGACUUGGCAGCAGGAACAUUUAGGUUCUCUUCAAUGCAGGCAAUCUGGCAGCAGCACAGUACUGGCCUCUUGCUAUCUAAACAGGUGGGACUGCUGUGCAGCAGUUGAAAGUCCAGACACUACUGUAUAAAGGCAAACAAGAACUCAUAUACAUUACAUUCUGCUUUACUUCUUAAGUCAAGUAACACAUGUACAUUUUACACAUAAUUUUAAACCAGGCAACCAUCUGAGACAGGCACCAGCUCACACAAGUCUCAGAAUUAAACUUCCUCUAUAAACACUCUCCUAUAAAAUUAAAACUUUAGGUAUACUACAUGUUGCACCAUUUUAGGUUUGGGUUUUGUUUUUUCAGUCACCAUCACUAAUUUAUCUGAGCCCAUGAACAUUAUUAGUGUCAAAAUUUUCACAUAUCAAGGUCUAUCAGCUGAGAAAAUGGAAGCAAGCUCACUUCCAUGUAACAAGGUUGAAAAUUGUGCAACUGUCUUGAGUUUACGCAAGGAUUAAAAGUGGCUGACCAACACCCUAAGACAGUUGUAGUCCAUCAGGGGAUAAAAAGGGGGCAGAGGACAUCAUCCACACUUCUCUUACCAUUUAUAUUCUGUAAAGCAAGAACCAAUCAUGCAUUUUUCAGGGCUGAAAAUUCAGUCUGUUCAUAACAGCUCUGAUUCUCUUUUGUUGCAUUUCUUUUACUUUGGUGUUUGAAAGAAAUGUGUUCCACAUUCUGAUUAACAGUUUCCAGCCACUGAUUUCUAAUUAAUGGUGGUUAACAAUGAGCAGCUUAAUAUGGCUUUUCUGCCACUCUCAAAACAAAGAGUAAGAUAUGUCAUAAUUUCUACACAAAUAUACAAAGUCUUAUAAAUGCAAAUUCAUACUUUCAGUAUUACAGGAUUUCAAAUGCACCCAACUCUUCUCUCACAUGUUUUUUGAGUUCAGCAAUUUGGGCUUUUUGCUUUUUUGCCUUGUGACUUUCUUGUUGUUUCCAUCACUUCAUUUUGCAUUUUCUUUGAAGAUGUUUAUGCUGCUGUUAAUGGAACCACAGAGCAAUGCUGGAAGGGACCUUUGGAGACUGUCUAGUCCACUUUUCAGCUCAGAUGACAGCCAGCUUUGAAGUCAAAUCCACAUUGCUCAGGACCUUGAUUAGUCAAGCUUUGAGCAUCUCCAAGGAUGAAGAUGCCACAGCCUCUCAACAACCUGCUCCAGCAUUUGCUUUUCCUCACUGUGACAUUUUUUUCACUAAUAUCUGUUCAGAAUUUCUCUUGCUGCAACAUCAGCCCCUUGCUUCUCACCUUUUCCUUCUGUACCUCCAGAGGUCUGUCUUCUCUACAAUCACCCAUUAGAUAGCUGAAAACAGAAAGCCCCCUCCAAGCCACUCCUUCUUCAAAACAGAACCCAGUUCUCAGAUUCUUUUUGUAUAUUGUGGGCUCCAGCCCUUCUCAGUGGCCUACUACUAGUAGCAUGUCUGCAUCUUCCUUGUACUGGUGAUCCCAAAACUGCACACAACACUCUGGACACCAUCUCACAGAUGUUGAAUUGAUGAUAUUAAUAAAUUCCCUCAAUUAAGCUGCUGCCAAUGCUACCCAGGGUGGGCUUGGCCUUCAUUGCUGCAAAGGCAUGCCAUUGAUUUUUGUUCAACUUGUCCACCAAAAUUCCCAGACCCUGCUUCGCAAGGCAGCUUUCUAGCCAGUCAGUCCCCAGUGUACCUGUUGCCUGAGGCUGGUCUCUUCCAAGCACAGAACUCUGCACCCGACUCCGCUGAGCUUCAAAAGGUCCCCAUCAGUCCACUUCUCCAACCUGUUGAUGUGCCUCUGAAUACCAGCCCCGACCUCCAGUUUAUCAGUCAUUCCCCUCCCCAAUAUGGUGUCACCUGUGCACUUCCCAAGGGUAUACUCCAUCCCAUUUUCUACGUGACUGAUAAAGACAUUAAAUGUUUAGCACCCUUAACAUGAACCCCUGAGGAAUGCCAUGCCACUAUUUAAACCCCUACAUUUUGAGCCCACCGGUCCAGCCAGUUUUCCACUUAUCUGGUAGUCUGCCAAUCCCGUGCGUGUUUCUCCAUUUCAGAUAAAAAGAGGCUAUGUCAAAAGUUUUGCUGGCCCCACACCCUCACUGUAAUCACACCAUUAUACAGGGCAAUCAGAUUGGUCAGGCACGACUUGCCUAGGUAAUUCUGUGCUUGCUGUUACCCAUCACCUUAUCCUGAUGGGCACCUGGGAAUGGCUUCCAGGAAAACUGGCUCCAUGAUCUUCCCAGAGACAUUGAUUAGGCUGUCUGGCUUGAAGUUCCUCAAAUCCACCAUAUCUUCCUUCAGGAUAGCUGUGAUCACCCAGUCCUCAUGCCCUUUCAAAUACCACAGAAAGGCUUCCCAAUGACACUGACUAGUUCCCUCAGCCGCACAUCCCACUCAGGCCCAUCAACAUCUGUGUAUGUCUAGAUUGCUUCAGAAGUCCCUAACUCAAUCUUCCCUUACCCUGGCCUCCAGGCACACAGAACUAAACCUGACAGCAGACCUUGCCAGUAAAGAGCAAAAAAAGCUGUUGAGUAACUCAGCCUCUUCUACUUCCUUUGUCAUUAGGCCUACCACCCUGUUCUUCAGCAAGUCUACACAUUUUAGUCCACUCUUGUUGCUCAGGCAGCUAUAACAGCCCUUCUUUUUUCCCUCCUCACCCACCACAAAUUUCUGUUCCAGCUAAGCUUGGCUCUUCUACUCCACCUGAGCAACAUUUAUUUCUUCCAUGAAACCAUCCCCACUUCCACCUAUGCACAAGUGCUUUCUGCACUUCAGUCCAGCCAGAGCUCCCUGUCCAGCCACAUGGAUUUCCAGCCACAACCCACAUUCCGUGAACUUCAGGAUGUGCAGCCCCUAUGCCUAAAGGAGGCUGCUCUUGACAAUCAAAAACCUGUCUAGGGCCUCCUUACUCCCCACAGCUGCCUCCCAUGGGUUCUCACCUGAAAGCUCACCCAAGAAGCUGAAGUCCAUUCUUCCGAAGAUGAGGGUUAUUGCUCUGCUACACACUUUCUCCUUCCCCGCAGUGAUACAUGGGAUGAACUCAGGAAAUCACUUUCCUAAUAUACUGAUGAAGUGCUACUACUAGUCAUCAAUACAGCCCAAACCAAAACCUCUUACAAAGGUAAACAUACCCAUGUGAAGGUCUUAGUUUCAUAAUGUCCCUGCAACAGAUAUGACAUUCUUCAAAUUCUGCAGAUGGUUUCUGUAACACACAUGGCCUUUCAUUCAACUCUGAAGAUAACGACACUAAAGAUGAUACAGAUACAUAGCUUACCAAUGUCCAAAAUAAACCAUCCUUACACUGAAAGUGCUUAAACGUGCAAGGAACCCAUUUGUUUUACCAGGUUAUCUCCAGAAAGCUCUGCUUUUAUCCACAAUUUUUGAAAGAGGCUAAGUGUGUACACAAAUAUAAUUCUACGCUUUUGUUGUUCCCAGGUUCCUCUGCAAAAUCACCACAUCAGCCUGACCCUCACACUGGUGUGCAGCAUCUCUUCCAGGACCAGGAUGACAGUGUUUUCCACAAUUCUCCAUGAUAAGUUUCACUGGAUAUAAACAGGUGUCCUCAUCACUGGACUAUAGUCAUGACACAUCUUGUCUGGCCACAAAGCUGAAAUUGUUCUGUUUGCACAGAAAUAACAGAGGAAGGCCCUAGGCUAGCCUAUGACUUAAUGAUAACCAGAGUCUCCACGGAGGCAGAGAUGUAAUCCACAGAGGUGCCUCAGGGUGAAGAAUUGUACCAUGCCUCCCACUUAAUACGCAUCUUUUGAUCCAAAACUAUGUGACAGCUGGAAAAGCAAAUGCAUGUUGUCUGCUCUACUGUGAAUAAAAUCAGAAGCUAUUUUGUGGAUACUGCUGAGCUGUUAAACAGUAAAAAACCCACAACAGUAAGAAUCAAAUGAGGGGUUUGUAACUACAAAAAAGGCAGCAAUGAGCCAAUUUAUUGUAUCCAGCAUAAAACCAAGUGUCCUCACUAAGCUAAGAUCCAAUUUAUGGGAUAUGUAAUUUAUGGGGUAAAGGCUUUGGACUAAAAAUUAAAUCAAGUUAAAUCCUUUUGCAGAAAUUAUUGUAAAGAAAAAAGGAGGCACACUAUCAAUAAAAAGCAGUGUAAUUUUCAACCUAAUCAUUGAAUGCAUUCUAAUCAACAGACUACAGAAAGGAAGACCUACACAAGUGCUGUGAUGCUAUUUGUCACCACAGCUUAUUGGACAGACAUACACACACACACACACCCCUGCGUUAUGGAAACGCUACAGAGAGGUGGAUGAGCUCUGAUGCAAAUCAAGGCACUAAGCCUCCCUUGGCUUGCACUGGGAUAUUUCACAGAGAUGGGCACCUAGCACUUGAAAACUCAAAGACUUUUCAAGUCUCCCAUGCUCUACCACUGAGGAGGUGCAAAGAAGCCAGGAGGGAGCACAGCCAGGACAGCUAACCUGAACUAGCCAAGCAGAUAUUCCAUGCCACAGAAUGUCAUGCUCAGUGUAUAAACUGGGGGGAGGUGGCCAGAAGCUGCCAAGUGCUGCUCAGGAACUGGCUGGGCAUCAGUCAGCAGUUGGCAAGCAAUUGUAUUGUGUAUCACUUGGGUCUUUCGCAUUUUUUUGCCCUCCUUGGAUUUUAUCCAUUUCUCUCCCUUCCCUCUUCAUUACAAUUAUUAUUACUGUUAUCAUUAUUAUUAUUUACUUUAUUAAACUGUUCUUAACUCAAACUGUGGGUUUUACCUUUUUAUGAUUCUCCUCCCCCAUCCCACAAGAGGGUGAGGGUGGGUGGUAUCUGUGUGUACACACACAAGGAGCCGCAUCAUACUUCGUUGCUGGUGUUAAAUGACAACACACAACUACCAUUACAACAAAAUAAAAAUACCUAACUGUUCUGGAGUACAGCUCCAGCUGUGAGUCUCCUCUGUUACUGAAAUCUCAGUUAUAGAAGACUAAUUGGCACUUGACCUUGCACUGUAUUGACACAGCCCUUGCACAGGAUGGUCAGAAUUUCACAUACACUUUUUUAAAAAGUGGACCCUUCAAAGUCUUCCAUGUCUCUUUCAAACACAUCCUUGUUAAUCAUUCCUGAAGAUAUCAAGCUUUUUACCUCGUUUAAUUCUUAAGGAACAUGCAGCAGAUACAAACAGAACCUAAAUACACAGAGGGUUUGAACACAGCCAUGCUCUUGUUCGAGUAACCAUUACUUCAAGCCAAACAAAAACAAACAUUGCAUAACAUUUCACUGUCUUGAAUGCUCAAGUAUUCCAUGUUGCUGGAGACAUCCUUUUAAGUAGUCAGUUUACUCUUCGCAUUUUUCAACCGUGCUGAGGACAGUGAAGUAUUCUUAGACCAAGCUCAUCCUCUAUGUGCAAUUCCCUCAUAAAACCUGAGUCCAGUGUCUUCCUAGUUUCAUACCGUACCUUCUGUGUAAGCUUUGCCUUUUUUUCAUACCCUCAAUUGCCAUCACUGUGGAUGUACCUUUACUAGAAAAACAUUAGUAAGCAGUACAGAUCAGUAGGAGUCCAUCUGUAAAGUUAAUGUGAGAAUCCUAAUGCAGCCAUACUACACACGUUUCAGCAUUUUGGUCAAGCUCUAGUUUGGACACACAGACCAAAUGCCUAUUUGUGGCUGGAGUAAUUUGGUCUGUCCUGGCAUGCAUCUUCCAGCUCAUUCAAGAAGAAUCCAAUCCACACAGCCCAAGACAACAUCAAAAACACAGCCAAAUUCACUUUGAAAGAACAGUUCUGAUCCAAAUUAAAAUACUGAAUUGUACAUACCUCUUCAUUACUGCUUUUUAAAUCCUUAAAAAUUAAAUAAAUAAAUACAGGAUCCAUAACAUUUCUCUAGCAGUAAUUUUCCAUGCUUUCUCAGUGGAUUAUUGUUUAAUACCCAUUUGUUGUCCAAGUUGAGUAUCAGUGGUAUUAUUCGCAAGACAUAAUCCCGAGGCCACUAAAACUUAAGAGUAACAAUCCAGUCUUCCUGAAUUUAUAAGCCUUAUCUAGUUUCUUCAAAAUUCCCCUUAUUGCUUCCCAACAUACUUCCCACACCAUCCCUACCUGUGCAAAGCAGAAACAUCUUCCAGAUACAUCAGGGAGUUUAGAGACACAACAGAUGUUGUCUAGCUCAAUCAUUCAGUUAGGCAGACACAAACACUAGAGCAUUCCAGUUUGUAUCUACUUCAGGCAAAUCAUUUCCACCUUCUGCCCAUGAAGAUUAAAUAAAGGUGAAGUCCUUGGGUUGCUUACAGGCUUUUGUCAUCUACCUACCUUUGAUUACUUGGUCAAAUAGAAUUGACUAAGACAUCUUCCCGUUGGUGUCUCAGAUCUAUCAGUAACGUAGAGUUGAAGGGCUACAUAGGAUAGCCCUACUUUCCCAUAUCCAUCUCCCUGAGGUUUUUUUAUAUCUAAGAUGAAGUUUGCCAUCUCCCCGUGAUGCAGCUAACAUACCUCACUUUGUAACUGGUCUUAGAAAUUAUAGGACAGAGCAGCUGUACAGUAACGGACUGUAACUCAAGCAGAAGGAAAUUGAUGGCAGGGAGCCUGAAGUCCACCUUUUAGCAACUGACAGUGCUCUUCUUAAGAGCUAGAAGAGUAGAAGAGGGCAACUAAUAUCCAGUUCUCCCAUUUCCUGAAGGUUCAGUGAUCUCCCAAGAGCCACAAAUUUGGGAAAAGUUUUCCUUCAAUUAUAUUUUUCCCCACAUUGGGUUCACCAUUGUCUGACAGGUGUCUUAAGCUCAGUACUACUUCUCCUCUCAUGGUUUUCAAGGUACUGCAGAAGUCAUCUGAAACUGAACCACAAUUAACUGGUUAGCAAGCUCACCUCGUGGAUACCCUUACAAAAAUUCCAUAGUUCCCCCCUCACUGGGAAGUCUUCUUACCUUCCUGGAACAUGUACAUCUGCAAGUCAGAUUCCAAGUAAAACAACAAAAGCUUUACCACGUUACUUUCAUACAGGGUUCAGCAGUGAUGCAAUUAACUUCACCAGUCAAGCUUUAAUUCACAAAUGGCAGUGUUGGUACAAAGCAUACACACAGGAAGAAAAGAAAUCAGAAGAGUGGUAGUACACACAUCACAUGCCCUCUGCCACAUUGGGUGCCAACGGGUAAUCUCAAUAUCCUGAAGUGCCUUUCAUGAACUUGUUCUAAUAGCACAUUUCCCAGCCAUAAACCUUUAUUGUAGCCCCGCUGUACCUGCUAGUGCUACCUCAUUCUUGUGAUACACGUUCAGCUGUCUACUCAGGGAUGCUGUACCUCUGAGGCUUGGGUGGUUUUCUUCUUCAAUUCUGUGCAGGCCACCCGGGACAGCUGUCAUGUUAUCACUACAAGGCCACCUUUUUAUUCUAAACUCAGUGGCCAGCCGCCUUCAGAAGCACUAGCUUUUCCAGUUGAAGUCAUGUCUUAGGGUAAAAGGUUCGGAACCUUCUGACAGACUUAUAAAAUACUUUCAAGUUAAAUGAAUUCAAGUGUCUUCACCAAAUGCCCAAGUUUUUAUCUGAAUAGAAAUUGCAACCCCCACAUUUCUUCUCUAAGCUCCUCUGGUGCACACAAAUAACCUGUUUUUCUUCAGGCAUUGGCCUAAAGACUUCCAAGUAUCUUCCAUCAUAAAAACUGAUUAGCUGAGACUUCUCAAUUUUAAGAGAAAAAACAGUUGCUUUACAUUUACACUGGCAGACACAUCUGUAACCCUAACUUGAGGAAAAUUCAUUGUCUUGGAGAUUUGAUGACAAGUGUUGCAUAAACAACUGUAUACAGCAACGUAAAGAAACUACUAGUCACUGAAGGACGAAGUCUGCCCAAUAAAAUCUGGAAUCUAAAAUGUAUACGUAUUACAUCAUGCUGCUUAUAGGCCAAGAUGAAAUGCCCUGAGCACCUUACAAGGCCCUACAGCCACAGUUCAGUAAUUUCAAGUCUUCAAUUCCAUCAAAAUGGCAAUGUAGAAGUAAAUAGACCAGUGUUCUAUGAAACUACCACAGAUGCCAUUAAGCCUAUUGUUCUAUCUCUUCUCUCAGAAAGAUGGGGCCUUGUAAUGCAGCCACUGACAGAGGACUCCAUCAGGAGCUGUAUGCUUCCAACACACCACACUAUAUUGACACAACGUUUGCAUAACACAUUCAGAACUUCACUUACAACACUUCUGGAAAAAGUUUUAGCAGCAGCCUACCGGCUUUAUGAAUAUUUACAUAUCACAUUCAAAAAGCUUGUAAGUUUUCUUCCCAAAAGACAUGAAAGACUGCUAAGCAGCUGCCUCUUCAGGUUUAAAAUGCCUCAGCAAAUCACUAUCUACAGAAGAUAAUUAACAGCAGACUGAAACACACUACAUACUUAAACUCUGGAGAACACCAUUUUAAUGUGCAGAAUUGUUUUCAUUAGUAAAGCACACCAGACAGAGACAAUUCCUGCAUGCUAAAUCUUUAUUGUGCGAAAUGUUGUUCAGAGUGUUUAUUACCCUUCAUAGACACACAUUCAAAAAAAACCAACAUUAACAGUGGCUAGAUUGAUGG